GUGGGGAAUAUUGGACAAUGGGGGGAACCCUGAUCCAGCCAUGCCGCGUGUGUGAAGAAGGCCUUUUGGUUGUAAAGCACUUUAAGCGAGGAGGAGGCUACCGAGAUUAAUACUCUUGGAUAGUGGACGUUACUCGCAGAAUAAGCACCGGCUAACUCUGUGCCAGCAGCCGCGGUAAUACAGAGGGUGCAAGCGUUAAUCGGAUUUACUGGGCGUAAAGCGCGCGUAGGUGGCCAAUUAAGUCAAAUGUGAAAUCCCCGAGCUUAACUUGGGAUUUGCAUUGGAUACUGGUUGGCUAGAGUAUGGGAGAGGAUGGUAGAAUUCCAGGUGUAGCGGUGAAAUGCGUAGAGAUCUGGAGGAAUACCGAUGGCGAAGGCAGCCAUCUGGCCUAAUACUGACACUGAGGUGCGAAAGCAUGGGGAGCAAACAGGAUUAGAUACCCUUGUAGUCC
rnacentral:rRNA from 1 species